rnacentral:snRNA from 1 species
GUGCUCACUUCGGCAGUACAUAUACUAAAAUUGGAACGAUACAGAGAUUAGCAUUGCCUCUGAGCAAGGAUGACACACAAAUUUGUGAAACACUCCAUAUUAAA